GAGCUAAUACAUGCUAAAAACCCCAACUCACGAAGGGGUGUAUUUAUUAGAUUAAAAACCAAUGCCCUUCGGGGCUCUUUGGUGAUUCAUAAUAACUUUUCGAAUCGCAUGGCCUUGCGCCGGCGAUGGUUCAUUCAAAUUUCUGCCCUAUCAACUUUCGAUGGCAGGGUCUUGGCCUGCCAUGGUGACAACGGGUAACGGAGGGUUAGGGCUCGACCCCGGAGAAGGAGCCUGAGAAACGGCUACUACAUCCAAGGAAGGCAGCAGGCGCGCAAAUUACCCAAUCCCGACUCGGGGAGGUAGUGACAAUAAAUACUGAUACAGGGCUCUUUUGGGUCUUGUAAUUGGAAUGAGUACAAUUUAAAUCCCUUAACGAGGAACAAUUGGAGGGCAAGUCUGGUGCCAGCAGCCGCGGUAAUUCCAGCUCCAAUAGCGUAUAUUAAAGUUGUUGCAGUUAAAAAGCUCGUAGUUGAACCUUGGGCCUGGCUGGCCGGUCCGCCUCACCGCGUGCACUGGUUCGGCCGGGCCUUUCCCUCUGGGGAACCGCAUGCCCUUCACUGGGUGUGUCGGGGAACCAGGACUUUUACUGUGAAAAAAUUAGAGUGUUCAAAGCAGGCCUAUGCUCGAAUACAUUAGCAUGGAAUAAUAGAAUAGGACGUGUGGUUCUAUUUUGUUGGUUUCUAGGACCGCCGUAAUGAUUAAUAGGGACAGUCGGGGGCGUCAGUAUUCCAUUGUCAGAGGUGAAAUUCUUGGAUUUAUGGAAGACUAACUACUGCGAAAGCAUUCGCCAAGGAUGUUUUCAUUA
rnacentral:rRNA from 1 species